GACAUUCCUCCAAGAUUUUUCUCGUAUAUACGGAAGCUCAAGAAAAAUAAAAAAGAGUGGACAUCUACAUUUGCGUGACCUAUGAAGAAGAACCUAUGUCUGCUAUUUUCAGGGGGAGAUUACGCCAGUGUACUAUUUUUCCUUGUCAUGGUUUUUGUUCUAAUAAAUUUUUCUCUGACUAGGUUUUUAACGAGGUACUACGUAAUACAAAAUAAACAAUUAAAGAAAGGUGUUAGAAAAUUAGAUGAUUAUUCAUCUUGGACACUUGUCCUUUUUAUAUAUGGGUGAUAAUAUUUAUCUUAUAGUUCUGUCUUUUUUUCUUAGUCGGUUCAUAUAAACCGACUUUCAUGCCAUAUAUAAAGCUUGUCAUAAGACAAUAAAUAGAUGAAUAAGAAGGAAUCUGAUUAUCUCUAGCUCUCUCUCUCGUUUGUUCCUCUUUCUCCAAUCACAAAUUACAAAACAUAUCUUUAUAUAUAAAGAAGAGAUUGUUUCUCUCCUGUAAGGACACGUCGGAUGACAGGGUGGAAAUAGGAGCUCUAUGGUGUAGACACGUCGGAUCCGCACCGUUUCAUUAAACCUUCGCAGUGGGCUUCGUUACACGCUUCUUCUGCGGCCCAUCGACCACAAGCAUAUACGGAACCCUAAUCAAUCGAUACGUUCUUCUUCGUGUUCUUUGUGCGUCAAGGAGCUGACACGUGUCAAGUGAUACGCCCCAUUUCAUUUUUUUUCUUUUUCGGUCCAAUGAUGUCUUCUCUCUAUCUCUCACACCGUUGACUUCACACCUCCUCUGCAAACCCCAUAGAAACGCUUCCUUUCAACUUCACACCAUGCGAUAGAAAUGAAGUGGUGUGCUCGAAUCGAGAAUAGCAGUAGAGAAGAAUCAGAAAGCCAGUGGAGAUGCAGAGAAAUCAACCAUUUUCAUUAUUUCGGCAAAGAUUCACCGGAGAUAUAACCGUGGAAUCCUCAACGUCUCCAUUUGUGACUCUCUUAGGUUUUCUUUGAGAUAGAUGAAUCACCGGAUAACCAUGGAUUCUGGCCAGAAGCUUGAUGUGAUUCAUUCUCGGUGCAUAUGAAGUAUAAACGGCAACGAAGCAAAGAGAUAUGAGCAUCGGGGGAUUCAAGGGUGAGGUGGAUUUCAAUUAGUGAAGGGAACAUCCGGAGGAUGAGACAUGGGCCAUAGUCAUUCCGGAGAUAAACGUCUUGCCGUGGUGGAGCGUUAACGUAUAGAUCUGAAGGAGAGGCCAAGCGAAGCUUUUCUUUAGUCGAUAGAAUCAAAGUCUUUUGUCUUGGUAUAUGAGGGGAUUGUAAGAGUUGACUAGACUAAAUCAGUAGGCCAGAUAUGGGCUUUUGUCAUUACUUAAAAGUUUAUAAAAGACAAAAAUCAUUAUUA